rnacentral:tRNA from 7 species
UUUAAGAUAAGCUAAUAAAAGCUUUUGGGUUCAUACCCCAAAUAUAAAGUGAAUAUCUUUUCUUA